rnacentral:rRNA from 1 species
CGGUGUUUAACUGGCGUGAUGUGGGACGUCCUACCGGUGGGCUUAGCCUCGCGAGGGGCGGCCCAACUAAUAUCCCGUCGCGGUGCUCUUUACUGAGUGUCGAGUCGGGCCGGUACGUUUACUUUGAACAAAUUAGAGUGCUUAAAGCAGGCUAUCCUCGCCUGAAUACUGCGUGCAUGGAAUAAUGGAAUAGGACCUCGGUUCUAUUUUGUUGGUUUUCGGAACCCCGAGGUAAUGAUUAAUAGGGACAGAUGGGGGCAUUCGUAUUGCGACGUUAGAGGUGAAAUUCUUGGAUCGUCGCAAGACGGACAGAAGCGAAAGCAUUUGCCAAAAAUGUUUUCAUUAAUCAAGAACGAAAGUUAGAGGUUCGAAGGCGAUCAGAUACCGCCCUAGUUCUAACCAUAAACGAUGCCAGCUAGCGAUCCGCCGAAGUUCCUCCGAUGACUCGGCGGGCAGCUUCCGGGGAAACCAAAGCUUUUGGGUUCCGGGGGAAGUAUGGUUGCAAAGCUGAAACUUAAAGGAAUUGACGGAAGGGCACCACCAGGAGUGGAGCCUGCGGCUUAAUUUGACUCAACACGGGAAACCUCACCAGGCCCAGACACCGGAAGGAUUGACAGAUUGAUAGCUCUUUCUUGAUUCGGUGGGUGGUGGUGCAUGGCCGUUCUUAGUUGGUGGAGCGAUUUGUCUGGUUAAUUCCGAUAACGAACGAGACUCUAGCCUGCUAAAUAGGCGUACCUUAUGGUAUCGCGAAGGCCCCCGGCUUCGGCCGGUGGGUUUUUACUACCAACGUACAAACAAAUCUUCUUAGAGGGACAGGCGG